GAGCAGCUGAUGACAGACAGGAAGAUCGAGGAAGCCCCCUUAUGCCUUCCACCACGGGUCCUCGCCGGUCCUGAAGUCGGUCUCCACCCACGGGACGAAGAGGACCUUGCCGUCGUCGACGUCGGCGUGCACCAGGGCCAGCGACUGUUGUUGUUCCGAUCAGAUGAGCAAUUCAACCAAGAUCAGAUUCAGUCAGUUGAUGAAGGCAGAUCAUAUCAUUCAGCUAGAAUCAAGGAAGCAAAAUGAAUGAAAUGCAUUGCUCACCAGGGGCGCCGGGCCACGGACGACCCUGCCCUGGUUGUUGUACUGCGAGCCGUGGCAGGGGCAGAUGAACUUGUUCUCGGCGCUGUUCCACGGCACGACGCACCCCAGGUGGGUGCAGACGGCGUUGAUGCCGUAGGUGGCCAGCGUCUUGUCCUGCUCCACCACCAGGUACGUCGGGUCGCCCUUGAGCCCCUGCGCCAGCGUCCGGUCGUUGGGGCCGUGGGUCUUGAGCCACUCGUCCACCUUGAUGUCGUUGCCCAGCUUGUCCUUGGCGUACGUCCCGCCGCCGGCGCUGCCGGACCUGCAAAUUAUUACCCGUUGAGCUGCUGGCCGGCCGGUGACAGACAGGACUAGGCAGCUUACCCGGCGGGGAUGAAGAAGGCGCCGUAGGGGACGACCAUGCCGACGGUGGGCAGCGAGAUGGCGCCCAGGAGGAGGAGGUUCAUCAGCUUCCGCUUCUCCAUGUCGGGGACGCGGUCGGCGGGGAUGCUGCUCGCCGCCUGGCACGUGAUGCUCCGCCGGCCCAUCCCGAGGCCGAGGCCCUUCACCGGCUUGCCCAGCGAAGAAGCAGCGCGGGGCCGGCAGAGCUGCCAUUGCAGGCGCGCACAUCGCAUGCAAACGGAUAUAUGUGAUCCAGACUUAAACAUAGAUAACAGAUCAAUCGAGCUGCAAAUUAAAUGUAUAGCAAACCUGGAUUCUGUGGUCAACUACUCCAGAAUCCAGAUACAAAUGAGUGUCUACAACGUAUUUGAAUUGUUCGUCAAAUCGUCAGGUAAAUCCAGUGGACCACGGAUCAGAACCAGGAGUGAAAUCGAUAUAGUAGUGCUACACUGCUACUCCAUUACUUUGUAGGUAGUAUGAUCCAUGUUCUUUCAGUUCUAACUUCUACGUUGCGUUAACGAACUCAUACAGCAAAGACGAUGAACACGCCUUUCUCGGAAAAAAGUCACAGCAGUAGCCAGUAGGGGAGGGGAGAGAGGAGAAGCGAGGCGCAGAAGAAGUAGAAGAGGAAGCUGGGCGCUUACCUGGGUGGGGUUGGCGGCGGUGGAGAGCGCCGUGGAGGCCGCCAUGGCUGCAGGGAAGGGAGGAUCGGAUUGCUGGGGGAGGUGUCGAGCGAGGCUUCUGUCGCUGGCGUCCACAGGCUUGCGGAUGAGCCCCG
rnacentral:lncRNA from 1 species